rnacentral:rRNA from 1 species
ACCUCAAAUCAGGCAAGAAUACCCGCUGAACUUAAGCAUAUCAAUAAGCGGAGGAAAAGAAACUAACAAGGAUUCCCCUAGUAACGGCGAGUGAAGAGGGAAGAGCUCAAAUUUUAAAUCUAUCUUGUUCUUCAAGGUCGAGUUGUAAUUUGAAGAAGCGUUUUCUUGGAUUUGCAGCCGGUAGAAGUUCCUUGGAACAGGACAUCAUUGAGGGUGACAAUCCCGUCUGUGACCGGUUGCUCGUUCAUCUAUGAUACGCUUUCAAAGAGUCGAGUUGUUUGGGAUUGCAGCUCCAAAUGGGUGGUAAACAUCACCUAAGGCUAAAUAUUGGCGAGAGACCGAUAGCGAACAAGUACCGUGAGGGAAAGAUGAAAAGAACUUUGAAAAGAGAGUUAAAUAGUACGUGAAAUUGUUGAAAGGGAAACGAUUGAAGUCAGUCGUGCUGGCGCGUAAUCAGCCUACGAUUUGUCAAACAAGUAGUGUGGUGAGCCUCAAAACCGCUACAUUAUUUGUUUGGCUAAUCGUCGGUGCACUUUCGUGUCGGCUGGUUAACAUCAAUUUCAAAUGUCAUAAAAAGGCUGGAGGGAUGUGGCUCCUUCGGGAGUGUUAUAACCUUUAGCGGAAUGUGGUGUUUGGGAUUGAGGAUUGCAACGAAUACCUUUAGGGCUGUUCCACCUGGUCUCUCUUUGGCAUCUUGGCGGCGACAGCUUGCUGACGUUGUUAAGAGUUGCCGUUGAACAGGCUAGAGUGUGAGCAAAUUCGUUAAGGAUGUUAACGUAAUGGCUUUAAACGACCCGUCUUGAAACACGGACCAAGGAGUCUAGCAUAUAUGCGAGUGUUCGAGUGUAGAAACCCGAGCGCGUAAUGAAAGUGAUAUUGGUAAGAUCCCCAUCCUUUCGGGGGUAGGGAGCAUUAUCGACCGAUCUGGAUAUUCUUUGAUAGAUUUGAGUAAGAGCAUAUCUGUUAGGACCCGAAAGAUGGUGAACUAUGCCUGAAUAGGGCGAAGCCAGAGGAAACUCUGGU